rnacentral:rRNA from 1 species
UACGUAGGUGGCAAGCGUUGUCCGGAUUUACUGGGCGUAAAGAGCGCGCAGGCGGUCGUUCAAGUCGCGUGUGAAAGCCCCCGGCUCAACUGGGGAGGGUCACGCGAUACUGAUCGACUCGAAGGCAGGAGAGGGUAGUGGAAUUCCCGGUGUAGUGGUGAAAUGCGUAGAUAUUGGGAAGAACACCGGUGGCGAAGGCGGCCAUCUGGACCGCAACUGACGCUGAGGCGCGAAAGCGUGGGGAGCAAACAGG